CCAGACAGCCAGGAUGUUGGCUUAGAAGCAGCCAUCAUUUAAAGAAAGCGUAAUAGCUCACUGGUCGAGUCGGCCUGCGCGGAAGAUGUAACGGGGCUAAACCAUGCACCGAAGCUGCGGCAGCGACACUUAUGUGUUGUUGGGUAGGGGAGCGUUCUGUAAGCCUGUGAAGGUGUGCUGUGAGGUAUGCUGGAGGUAUCAGAAGUGCGAAUGCUGACAUAAGUAACGAUAAAGCGGAUGAAAAGCCCGCUCGCCGGAAGACCAAGGGUUCCUGUCCAACGUUAAUCGGGGCAGGGUGAGUCGACCCCUAAGGCGAGGCCGAAAGGCGUAGUCGAUGGGAAACAGGUUAAUAUUCCUGUACUUGG
rnacentral:rRNA from 1 species